rnacentral:lncRNA from 1 species
CUUGUGCCACGGUGGCCCAAAUGUCAGUCAACCAGACAUGUCUUCUGAGAGGUAAGUUUUUGAAAAAUACUAGACUUUUCUCAAAUGUAUUUCUUUACAGGAAUAAAAAGAAAGCUAAUUUUGCAUGAGCAUGCAGGAAGUCUGCAGACAGACAUUCUACAUAGUCCCUUGGGGACUCAGUAGAAGUGGAAUCAAGACCAACCCAAGCCCAACAAGGCAGCUCCGCUGGUUAAUGCCUCCCAGAUCUGUCAUCUGUGAUAAAGAGCCUCGCUGUAGCUGAGGAGCUGGCCAAGAACCUUUCCCAGUUAGCCAAGUUCGUGAAGAAGUCACAUGUGGUGAAUAUAUUAUCAUCAGAAUGCGGAGCAAUGAAAUGUAAACAGAUAGGAAUCGUCACUAAAGCUCCAACUGCAGCCUCCGGGUGCCAUAGCUUUUGCACCAUCCAUUUGCACCAUCUCUGCAUUGCUCUCAAUCACUGCCACGAGUCUGGUGAUGCGCUAAGCUCGGGGCAGGAUCUCAAGGGCUUUGAGGAUGUCUGCAUCAUCUGUAUUGACCUGCUCCCCAGAUUAAUACCGAAGCACUGCAAUUUCUUGAGGAUUAUCCACCUAGGAGGAAAUGAUACGCUGGCCCAUCCAUAGUAGUCAAGGUUUCUUGGAAGAGAAGAAUGAGAUUGGAUCUGAGAAAAUGUGGCUGGGAACCACCAUCUCAGAUGGUAGAAACCACUCAGAAGGAUCAACUGCUGCAGACGGGAAGAGGAGCAACCUCGUGAAUAAUUUCGUGACAGGAUAUUGCAGGAGGGACUUUGUCCAAAUGUGUGCAGGGUAGUUGGCUACAGCAACAAGGAUGACGAACACAGAUGAAUUGAUCAGGAUGUAACCAUUCAAAGUUGAGAGGAUUAGAGGACUUCUCCGAGGCGGCUCCAAUGGAUGCCAGCAGAGUUAAAGUGUCCAAUGGAGAGAAGAGAAGGCUUGGGAAAUCCAGAGUCCAUUCAUUCAUCGCCCUCCUCCUAGAACAACAAAAGCGAGCCCCAGUACUCAUCAGCAUGGACUCUGUGUGUAGUCAUCUCCCUUAGUUUCAGAGGUUCCUGCCUACAGCAAAACUUUAGAGGCUUAGAGUUUAACGGUCAUAGCUUAUUCACCUCCAACUGUGUCCUAGUUCAAGAGAAACACUUCACAUAUCUGUAGGGAGAAGAUAAUGAACCAAGGAUACAAGUUAAGCCUUAGCUAAGACCUGUUACUCAGGAAAAAGAGCUAAAACAAGCUGCUUAGAUCAGCACCAAUGUUAGGUAGAGAGAAAAAGAAACGCUGCAUAGAAAUCUUAAGGUUCACAUGUGCUCCAGGCUGGGUCAACAACUUCUAAUUUCCUUUGCCAACCAACCAUGUCUUUGACAGAAAUGAUCCUUCUACAUAGACCACAGAGGGAUCCAAUGGAGGUUUCUCUUCCUGAAUUUGGGGAUUCAGAAUCUGGACAAAUUCCUUUCCAUCAAAGUCCAGUACAAAAGUAGUACCAUGGCAGUCCCUGCAGGGACUUGCAUCACUUUCCCUAGAGAUAUCAAGAGAAUUUUUAGUGAUAAGAAUAUGGCACAAAAUGAGAAAUCCCAUUACUCUUAAGAGAAUCUCUUCCUUCUCAAAGGCACCUGAUUAAUACAUAUAGUACUAUCAGUAAGGCUGAGCAAAAGGAUACUGAUGUUCUGAGUGAUCUUAAAUCAUGUAAUAAUAACUUUAUUCGUAGUAUAGAACGGAAUAUUCCCUAUUAGUAAUCAGUUCCUUUGCCAGAUCCUCAUAGUAUCUUAGUCACUGUUUUAUUGUUAUGAAGAGAAACUUUGACCACAGCACCUCUUAGAAAAAAGGAAGCAUUUAAUCGGGACUUCCUUAUGGUUUCACAGUUUUACAUAAUUGUCAACAUGGCAGAGAACAUGGGGGCACGCAAACAGACAUGGUGCUGGAGAAGUAGCGGAGAAUAUACAGCAACAUAUAGAUACAAAAUAUAGAUACAUAUAGAUACAGAAUAUAGAUACAUAUAGCUACAUAUAGAUCUGCAGGCAGCAGGAAGAGACUGGGACAAGGCCAUACCUUCUAAGGCUUCUCAAGGAGUGUCACUUCCUGAUGACCAAGCAUUCAAGUGUAUGAGCUUAUGGGAGCCAUUCUUAUUCAAGCCACCACACAUAGCAAAGCUGAUAAUGUCAUUUUCUGAAUUAACCAGGCCAAGGCACACUUCUUAGCAACAUGGUUACCUGGUAACCAGAGAUUUUUCUCAUCCCAUGAGAGAUUUCAUUCAAGAACUGAUCUUCUAACAGUUUUGUCUCUCUUAAGAAUGCUACAGACAGGGUGGGGUGAGGCACAGUGCUGAAGCCCCUCAAGUUUCCCAGAGGGAUGAGUCCAUGAAAGACGAAAAUCAUGUGGUCACACUGAGCAUAGACUUCACAAGCAUCAUGCUAGGAUUCCAUUUUCUUUCUCAACACAAUGAUAAAUUCUUCUUCCAAUAAGCAGAAAAUCAUCCAAUGGGAAAAAAAAAUAAAACCAACUAACUUGCAGUCCUUUGGAACAGUUUCAUAGCUUACAGGAUGGCUUCAUAACCCUGGGGACACUCGUUUUGACAUGAAAACUUCCUUCAGAACAGGAAUUCUGAUCCAACAUGUGCUCAGACAUCAUUUCAGUCACUUGCAAAUGAACAAGAAAGCUCAUGUAAAUGAGGAGGCUCAACUCCCAGGCCUGGUGAGUGGGUAAGACAUUCCUCUGCUGGGUUUUGAAGGCUGUCUGAAACCAUCGGCUGACAUCCUUCUCUGUGUGCAUGUAUGCACUAUCUACGGGAAAUUCAGCUCCAACCGGUUGUCUCUACAGCUCCCUUAAUCUUCUCCUCCCUCCUCCUGGCAUUGGCAUGUGUCCCAGGACUGCAGCGAGGAGUGCUUACCAACAAAGGUGCUGGCAUCUGCAUUUGUUUCACAGCCACAAACCUAAUGGUUCCAUGAUUUUGGCGAGCAAAACUGUCAAAAUGCCUGAGCACAAGAGAUCACAAGAUGAGCCAAGGCAUAGUGUGCAUGCCUUCCUUCCCAGCACUCGGAAGGCAGAGGCAAGGGGAUCUCUGUGGGUUCAAGGCCAGCCUGAAUCACAAGGUGUACUGGGGAUUCUUUUUUAUUGUUUUCCUUUUGCUAUCUGGAAUAGUUUGAGAUUGUAUUUGAUCAGUGCAUUAAACAAC